rnacentral:rRNA from 1 species
UACGUAGGGGCCUAGCGUUGUCCGGAUUUAUUGGGCGUAAAGAGCUCGUAGGCGGUUCGGUAAGUCAGGUGUGAAAUCUCCACGCUCAACGUGGAGGCGCCACCUGAAACUGCCGUGACUCGAGUCCGGUAGGGGAGUGUGGAAUUCCCGGUGUAGCGGUGAAAUGCGCAGAUAUGCGGAGGAACACCGAUGGCGAAGGCAAUCCCCUGGGCCUGCACUGACGCUCAUGCACGAAAGCGUGGGGAGCAAACAGG